rnacentral:lncRNA from 1 species
ACGCAGUUUAAACGUUAUUAAUUAAACUUCAAAAUUUGUUUUUUGAUAAGAUCGAAUUAAGUUAUAUGAUACGCAUAAUAAGUUUGGUGACAUUAUAAAACUGCAUAAGUCCUAUAUGACGUGAAAAGCUUUUGACAGAGGUGCAUAAAAAUUGAAGAAGGAAGAAGGGGAGGGAGAAAAAAACCGUAUGAGGCAAUAUAUACGUUAUGAAGUCUUUUAGAGAUGUCUUUGGACUACAGAACUAUACAAACUCUCUCCACGUCUUUCUCAAUGUCUCUUUAUUUGCUCCCAUCAUUUUCAUCUCUCCGAGUUCUUUCUCCCUACGAUAUUUCUACUUCGGAUUCUUCUUCGUUUACUUUCUUGAUGUAUUCCAUAAUACAUCCGUACCACUUUUUUUUUUUUUUUUUGAUAGCUUUUCUUAUAUUUAGCACCCAUAUACUUUCUCUCCAUUUUUGCAGUGCAUUCUCUCU